ensembl:misc_RNA 7SK 7SK RNA
GUGAGGGCAAUCUGGCUGUGACACUCAUCAUCCCAUUGAUCACCAGGGUUGAUUCAGUUGAUCUGGCUGGCUGGGCAAGUGUCCUCUGUCUCCCUCACACGGGCAUCCUUCCCAAAGCUGAAGCUGCAAAAUUGUGUGCCUGGUCAAAGAGGAUAACCACCCCUCAAUAGCGGAGGACUGUUUCUUCAUUCAAGGGUAUUUGUAGCUGUGCUCCCCUGCCUGCUAGAACCUCUAAACAAGCUCUUAAAAAGGGGCUGCCUAAUAAGUACCUAUAAAAUGGUCAUUUUUUU